AAAAACAAUAAUCUGAGCACACACAGAAAUAAUUUUUCAUGACUCAAUUAAACACAGCUCAGACAAAAAUGUCUUGGAUUACAGAGCAAAUUUCAAGGGCAGAGGGCAGAACUACAGGGCAAAUGCAAACCCUGGAAACUCUCCCUCAUAACUCAUAAUUGUGGUGUAUGUCUUUUGUAUGUAAAAGAAGUUUGCAGAUCCAAGAUUUUUGCCUGAAGCAGGGACUUGUCUAGAUAAUGUGCUUUCUGAUUCUGAAAAUCUACAAAAGAAAAAUAUUUUUGUCCAGCCCUUCAAGGGCAUGUUUCUUCCCCCAAAAUGGUAUUCAGUGCUAGUAGUUUCUAAAUACGGAAGUGAGUGAUUUAAAAGUUAUUUUUAUCAUUGACUUGUGGGUGCUUAAAUCUUGCCUCUCACGGGGGAUAACCCUCCAGGGAUUGCCUAGAUAAUGCAAUCAAUGCAGUGGGCAACCCUUGAAAGGUAUGCACCUUGUAGGUUGGAGUCUGAUGAAGGAUUGUUGUCAGUGUGGUCUGUUAAGCACCUAGCUAGCAUGCACCACUAUUCAAUUUAAUUUUGGGCAUGAGUGAAUCAGAGAGCAAGCUUGAUGAAGGACUUUGGGUUUGUGGGUAUGUGUCAGGAUUUAACUGAACAGUCUGCUUCCUAAUGCCCUCCGUAUGGGACCUUUUAAUGAUAUUCAGUGAUAAAUAUGGAUGCCACCUAAUUCCAAAAGUAUAGAGAACUCAAAGGUGAAGUAUAAGGUAACUGCCUCAUACAACUGCCUUUCUUUGGAUGGAUAGAAUUCACUAGAUGGAUAGAAACUCAGAAAGGCUUGAAAAUGUUGCCUCGGUCUCGGAUGUUUCCUGCAUCCAGGCCCAACAUGGUUUGGGUGUUACUGAAGUUGCCAGUGGCAUAAAUGAUAAAAGUUUUUGUUUCCUGAGUCUUUUCUCUAUGUGUCUCUGCAUUUCUUUUCAACUUCAAUCUUUUUCAGUGGGUGAGUGGAUUUUUUUAUUGUGUCAGAAGCGACUUGAGAACAUAUUUCAAGUUGCUUCUGGUGUGAGAGAAUUGGCCAUCUACAGAGAUGUUGCCAGGGGAUGCCCAGAUGUAUUACCAUCCUUGGGGGAGGCUUUUCUCAUGUCCCCGCAAGCUAGAGCUGACAGAUGGGAGCUCACCCCAUCUUGCAGAUACGAACCAGCAACCUUCAGGGGGCAUUUUCCAUACUUCAAGGCAUGUUACAGAAUGAAACUAGGAGCAUGGGAAGCUGCCAUCUUGAUGGGCUGAGAGGCUUGUGAAUGUGAGGUGCCCAUCUCUGACAGAAGGGAAUGAUGUGCCAAAGCUCCCUUUGGUCUCACGUGAACCUGAUGGGCCUUUUGUGCAGCUCUUUCUCAAGUCCAUUGACUGUAGCUCUGUCUUUGUCAGCUUGUCAAGCAGAGGUCAAGAAAUGGGUGGAGGAAUUGCUCUUAGGCCUUGGCGGCAUGGGGUGCAAGAUACACGCAGGCAUCCCCCACGCAUUGGGUUACAGUGCUAGCAGCAAAAAGAUUUGGCAAUACAUAGAGAUCGCCCUGAGGUUUCUGCCCUCUGCUCUUCUUCUGCCUUUAUUCUUCAUGCGCUUUUUAUAUGGGGAGUCUUUUAAGCCUUGCU
rnacentral:lncRNA from 1 species